rnacentral:rRNA from 1 species
GAUACCCUGGUAGUCCACUCUGUAAACGAUGUCGACUUGGAGGUUGUUCCCUUGAGGAGUGGCUUCCGGAGCUAACGCGUUAAGUCGACCGCCUGGGGAGUACGGCCGCAAGGUUAAAACUCAAAUGAAUUGACGGGGGCCCGCACAAGCGGUGGAGCAUGUGGUUUAAUUCGAUGCAACGCGAAGAACCUUACCUACUCUUGACAUCCAGAGAACUUAGCAGAGAUGCUUUGGUGCCUUCGGGAACUCUGAGACAGGUGCUGCAUGGCUGUCGUCAGCUCGUGUUGUGAAAUGUUGGGUUAAGUCCCGCAACGAGCGCAACCCUUAUCCUUUGUUGCCAGCGGUUCGGCCGGGAACUCAAAGGAGACUGCCAGUGAUAAACUGGAGGAAGGUGGGGAUGACGUCAAGUCAUCAUGGCCCUUACGAGUAGGGCUACACACGUGCUACAAUGGCAUAUACAAAGAGAAGCGACCUCGCGAGAGCAAGCGGACCUCAUAAAGUAUGUCGUAGUCCGGAUCGGAGUCUGCAACUCGACUCCGUGAAGUCGGAAUCGCUAGUAAUCGUGGAUCAGAAUGCCACGGUGAAUACGUUCCCGGGCCUUGUACACACCGCCCGUCACACCAUGGGAGUGGGUUGCAAAAGAAGUAGGUAGC